ACAGACAGUUAGCUAGGAUCAAUGGUGCAGCGUUUGGUUAAUAGCUGGACAUAUACUUCCACCACCACCUGCUACAACUACUACUCUCACUCCUUCCAACAAGUCAACAUUGGCUGAAUAGGUGCACAGUGUACAAUGCGUCAGGUGUCAAAGUGAUGGCAGAGCAACAUCAAAUGAAGUGUUUUGCACAAGAACACAACUCCGGUCCAGAAGUUGAAGCCAUGAUUUCAAGAUCUCAUUUGACUGCGGCCAUGCUGGAGUACUGCCUUUAGCCGAAGAAAUCAAUUUGUAAACCUAGUACUUAUUCUACCAGUCUCUUUUACCGAACCGCUUGGUGGAAGUCGUCCAAAUCGACAGAGCAAUGCUGAAGAGAGUGGAGGCCAACUUACCAAGAACGCCUUCAGAAAUGCAUCAACGAAAACGGACACAACAUCAUGGAUUCUGUUUUUGCACUUAAUUUCGACAAAUGCUAAUUCAAUACGAACAAAUUGAUGUCAAUAAAAUUUCUUUGCAUCUAAAAUUAAUGAUCUUGUGAAUUUUCCCAAAACGUCCGACCUCUCUGCCCACCCUGUAUAUAUUUAUGCAUAUCGACCCCAUCGAUUAUCUUUUUAAGUCUGGUACUUAUUCUGUUGAUUUCCGAUUAACUAAGUCACGGCAACAAAAAUAACUCAACAGAAGG